CAGAAAGUAGUAUAAAGGAAUAUAUAAAUUUUGGGGAUUUAGGUUGAGAGAUCCUUUCUGA
rnacentral:tRNA from 1 species